GAUCUCAUGAACACUACUCCCCUCAACUCUAAGAUCUCACAAUCGCAACUUGCAAUUCUGAUGGGAUUUAGAAGGAAACGGAAAAAAACUGAAAGAAUUCUCUGUCUGGAAUCAUGAUGUUUUUCUCAGUUUUAAGGACAAGAUACGCUCAGGAUGUGAAAACCGGCAAAAUUACAGGUUAAUCCAUACAACCUAACUAGGUUAUCCACCAAGUAAUCUUGCAAAGCAACCAGUUCCAUUUGAUUUACCACCACACGGGU
rnacentral:lncRNA from 1 species